CCUCGUUUCUACCAGCGCCUAUCAUUUGGUCACAAUAUCCUCUCAAGUGGGCCGUAGGAUUUCCAGUACCAUUUAAUGUCUCAAACUUAGGGACUUUAAAUCCUUCGAGUAGGUUCAAGUCAAGGUAAACGCAAAGGUCAUUAUAACUGAACCCUAUCGCAUUAGGCGAACCGUGUGUUUUCUUCAUCUUAGCGAUGUCUUCCUUUAUCAGUAGUAUCCCCUAGCAUAUUUGUCUUUAGGCACCCUACACUCUUUUUCCAUCUCCUCAUAAUGUUCAAUUUCUAGGCUUUGGGGGAAUGUAUAGUAAGAGGAAGGCAUUACAGUAGCAUAGAUAGUGGCGGGAGACAUAUUUUGGGUCAUCAGAGGAUUUUGAGUGGUGUGAGCAAAGUUUUGUUAUGUGGAAACUAGAUUUUGGGGAACAUUGGCAUUGGGACUGAAAGUGGGGCGGGUAUUUUAGGAAGUGAAGGCAUUUAUGGAGGUAUUUUGGUAAUUUGGUGUGAAGCUUUGAGGCUAGUAAGCAUUUGGAUUAUUUUCUCGGUUCUUGUGCUUUAAAUUAACACAAUCUUCAGUUGUGUGUCUAACACCUCCAGAAUGAUAUGCAUAAUGCUAAUAGGCAUGGAAAAAUUGAGAAUUAGUAUUGGCGGGUUUCGGUGGGAUAGGUUGGAUAAGGUCUGCCUUCUUUAGCCUUUCAAACAGUUGAGUUCUAGUUUCAGCCAAAGCAAUGAAACUUCUGGUGACUUUUUUUUGUUAUUUGGAUGAGGAAGAUUUUGGUAAGCAGGGGAAGGGACUUGAUGGUAAUUCUGAUUGACUGGGAUUUUUGGUACGCUUGAAAGUUUUGGAUUGGAGCUUGGUAAGUGGUCUGAUAAUUUGGCAAUAGAGUUGGGUAAUUCGGUUGAUUAGUUGAGAAAUUUGGCUUUGGAACUUGGGGGCUAGGUUGGGUAUAGAACACAGGUUGGAGAGUUUAUGGAGCUGAGGGGUAUAUAGACGGUGAUGGACUUUGCCCUGAAUUAGAACCGAAUAAAGGAUACGAAAGACACAUCUUCUCUCUUUUUCUUUGGGAAUCCUGAAGAUCCAAGUUGUGUAAAGGUCUUGUUGAUUUUUCCCGUCAUGAGUCGUUCAACCGUUUCACCAAUUUUAACCAAGUCAGCAAAAGUAGCACGAAUUGUCGAUAUUAUCUUGUCAUAAAACUCUCCCUAUCAAGCUCGAGUAAACACAACGACUAUUUCUUCUUCUAAUAUAGGAGGUCGUACUUUUGUUGCCUCUUUCCGCCAACGAUAGGCAUAUUCACAAGAGAAUUCAUUAGACUUUCACUUAAUGCGAUUCAAAGAAUAUCGAUUAGGAACCAUCUUUACAUUAUAGGUAAAUGUAUCAACAAAAUCUCUGACUAAGGCUCUCCAUUUAGGCCACUUCUUCAGUUCCUGUGAAGCAAACCAUUCUAACGUUUCUCCACUUAGGCUUCGACUGAAGAUCCUCAUCAAUAAUGCCUCGUUUCUACCAGCGCCUAUCAUUUGGUCACAAUAUCCUCUCAAGUGGGCCGUAGGAUUUCCAGUACCAUUUAAUGUCUCAAACUUAGGGACUUUAAAUCCUUCGAGUAGGUUCAAGUCAGGGUAAACGCAAAGGUCAUUAUAAUUGAACCCUAUCGCAUUAGGCGAACCGUGUGUUUUCUUCAUCUUGGCGAUCUCUUCCUUUAUCAGUAGUAUCCCCUAGCAUAUUUGUCUUUAGGCACCCUACACUCCUUUUCCAUCUCCUCAUAAUGUUCAAUUUCUAGGCUUUGGGGGAAUGUAUAGUAAGAGGUAGGCAUUACAGUAGCAUAGAUAGUGGCGGGAGACAUAUUUUGGGUCAUCAGAGGAUUUUGAGUGGUGUGAGCAAAGUUUUGUUAUGUGGAAACUAGAUUUUGGGGAACAUUGGCAUUAGGACUGAAAGUGGGGCGGGUAUUUUAGGAAGUAAAGGCAUUUAUGGAGGUAUUUUGGUAAUUUGGUGUGAAGCUUUGAGGCUAGUAAGCAUUUGGAUUGUUUUCUCGGUUGGUAUUGUAAGUAGGAGGGAUAUGGGUUUGACACGAUGGAUUGAUAUGAUUAGUGAGAGGUUUAGGCAUAGAAGUGGAGGGUAUGUCAUUUGGUUGGUUUCCAUUGUUAGGAGAGCUAAAAGGAGGGAAUCAGAGUGAAAUUGCAUGGGUAUCCAAGACUGCGUAUUAGCGGCAAUGGCC
rnacentral:lncRNA from 1 species